GGUUGGAUGGUGUAAUGGUUAACACCUCUGUUAUGUAAGCAGAAGCCCUGGGUUCAAUUCCCAGUCUGGCCA